CCUACGGGAGGCAGCAGUGAGGAAUAUUGGUCAAUGGGCGAGAGCCUGAACCAGCCAAGUCGCGUGAGGGAAGACGGCCCUAUGGAUUGUAAACCUCUUUUGCCGGGGAGCAAAAGACGGCACGCGUGGCGUUCCGAGAGUACCCGUAGAAAAAGCAUCGGCAAACUCCGUGCCAGCAGCCGCGGUAAUACGGAGGAUGCGAGCGUUAUCCGGAUUUAUUGGGUUUAAAGGGUGCGCAGGCGGAAGGGAAAGUCAGCGGUAAAAUUGAGAGGCUCAACCUCUUCGCGUCGUUGAAACUGGGUGUCUUGAGUGAGCGAGAAGUAUGCGGAAUGCGUGGUGUAGCGGUGAAAUGCAUAGAUAUCACGCAGAACUCCGAUUGCGAAGGCAGCGUACCGGCGCCCAACUGACGCUCAUGCACGAAAGCGUGGGUAUCGAACAGGAUUAGAUACCCCUGUAGUC
rnacentral:rRNA from 1 species